rnacentral:misc_RNA from 1 species
GAUGAAGAACGUAGCGAAAUGCGAUAAGUAAUGUGAAUUGCAGAAUUCAGUGAAUCAUCGAAUCUUUGAACGCACAUUGCGCCCGCCAGCAUUCUGGCGGGCAUGCCUGUUCGAGCGUCAUUUCAACCCUCGAGCCCCCCCGGGGGCCUCGGUGUUGGGGGACGGCACACCAGCCGCCCCCGAAAUGCAGUGGCGACCCCACCGCAGCCUCCCCUGCGUAGUAGCACACACCUCGCACCGGAGCGCGGAGGCGGUCACGCCGUAAAACGCCCAACUUUCUUAGAGUUGACCUCGGAUCAGGUAGGAAUACCCGCUGAACUUAAGCAUAUCAAUAAGCGGAGGA